CCUACGGGAGGCAGCAGUGGGGGAUAUUGCACAAUGGGGGGAACCCUGAUGCAGCGACGCCGCGUGGGUGAAGAAGCGCCUCGGCGCGUAAAGCCCUGUCAGCAGGGAAGAAAAUGACGGUACCUGAAGAAGAAGCCCCGGCUAACUACGUGCCAGCAGCCGCGGUAAUACGUGGGGGGCAAGCGUUAUCCGGAUUUACUGGGUGGAAAGGGGGCGCAGACGGCGAUGCAAGCCAGGAGUGAAAGCCCGGGGCCCAACCCCGGGACUGCUCUUGGAACUGCGUGGCUGGAGUGCAGGAGGGGCAGGCGGAAUUCCUGGUGUAGCGGUGAAAUGCGUAGAUAUCAGGAGGAACACCGGUGGCGAAGGCGGCCUGCUGGACUGCAACUGACGUUGAGGCCCGAAAGCGUGGGGAGCAAACAGGAUUAGAUACCCCAGUAGUC
rnacentral:rRNA from 1 species